UAGUGUGUCCAUUCCACACUGCCAAUUGGUACUGAAAAUGUCUGGCAUUUUCAGGGCGCUGAUCAACGCUUUGAUUUGAUCCGUUGUACUUUUGAGUACCGUGGAGUAAGGCUGUCGUCAGCAGGUGCCCACGUUAAACAUUCCGGUUGUUGUUAACAGUUCCGUGGAAGCCAAGCCUAUUUGAUUGAUGACAGGAGAUAUAUCGUUUCGCCAUCGUUCACUACCAGAUCCAUUUGCUUCCCUUCCUUAUCCAAUCUGGAGAAAGCAGAACUAACGACGCGUUUAUCAAAAGGGGGUCUCUCAUCCGAGGCUUUUGUUUCCUUUUCAUUGGGAGUAUUUUUUACGAGUCCCAAUUUCAGCGCACAACCCUGUGGUGGGAUGGUUCACCUUCUCACUUCAGCUCACAUUCAAAUGGUUGUUUUUUGGCUACCCAGCGGAUACUUGGUCAAAGACCGGAAGUCGGGAGCUGCUUGAGUUGUAUGUAGAGGAAUCGUUUCUGGCCACUCGAAAGUGAAUGGCGCUCAGAGUACUUUCCUCACUUGCGUGAACUUCUACACAUGACUCAAUCUUUCUACUCACUUUUUCCAUAUAUAACUUCCCAAUUGAAUUAAUUCACAUCAAACCAAUACCACCCAAAGAUAGCAUCCCCAAAAUCGAUUUGACCUCAUUAGAUUUGCUUGAAAGCUGUUCAGAAGACGCAGUUUUAACUCUUUAAACUUCUGUUAGUUUCGUUCCACAAAGCCAAUAAACUGUUUGCAAAAUUACGCUAGUCACACUACUGGAAAAGUUGUGAUAAUAGAUGCCACUAAUAAUAAUGAGGUAAGCAAUCUUUCCACGACGAACCUUUGUCUUGCUUCUGUAACCUCGAUAACAAGCGCGAAGAGUUCGAAAGCCAUUCUACUUAUUUUUUGGUGGAAUUAGAUUAUGACUAAGAGAGACUUCCACUUAACUAGAAAUUUAACCCAACCCAAAACCCUGAAAAAAUCAGCGUCUAUUUUAGUUCAGUAUUGCUUGAAAUCAUCAUGAAAAGACUUACGCCUGGACAACGUUUACAAAACGUUCAGCUUUAUUAUGAAAAUUCACGUUCCGUAAAGAAUGUGUUUCGCGCGCUUCGCUCAGCUCCCUACGACGUAGGGCGUUUUACGUCGAAAUCUAAAAUUGAAAGCGUACAAAAUACAACAUUUGCAAUAACUAAAGCCGCUCGACCUUCUCAAGUGACAUCGCUUCGUUCUAUGGGCUCUUGAAAAGUUCGAAGAAGAUCCCACGUUUUCGAGCUAUAUUUUGUUCAGCGAUGAGGCCCAUUUCUGGCUCAAUGGAAACAAUAACGGUUUAGUGAGUCUUACGGGCCGGUGGAAUCAUCGGUCCAUAUUACAUCAAAAAUGAUGCCGGUGUGAACGUACGUUAAUGGCUACCGUUAUCGUGUCAUGAUAAUCGACUAUUUGAUGCCUGAAAUUGAAGCUCGAGAUCUCGGCGACAUUUGGUUUCAACGAGACGGUGCUACUUCCCACACAUCGAAUCAAUCAAUGGAUAUACAGAAAGAACACUUCCGCGAGCAGAUAAUAUGUGGGGAUAUGUAAAUUUUAAAGUCUGUGCGAAUAAUCCCGCUUCGAUUCAGGCCUUGGAGCAAAACAUCACGCAUAUAAUUCGCCAUUUACCAGUUAAAAUGCGAACGAACGAGACAUCGAAAAUUGGACUUAAUGGAUGGAGCUUCUGAGAUGUAGCCGCGGCCAACAUUUAAAAAAGAUAAUCUUCAAAAAAUAAAUGCCAAAGAAUGUUCUUUCGAAUAAUAAUAAAAAUGUUCCAUUAAAUCUGAAA